UACAGAGGUCUCAAGCGUUGUUCGGAUUCAUUGGGCGUAAAGGGUGCGUAGGCGGCGCGGUAGGUCGGAUGUGAAAUCUCGGAGCUUAACUCCGAAACUGCAUUCGAUACUGCCGUGCUUGAGGACUGGAGAGGAGACUGGAAUUUACGGUGUAGCGGUGAAAUGCGUAGAUAUCGUAAGGAAGACCAGUGGCGAAGGCGGGUCUCUGGACAGUUCCUGACGCUGAGGCACGAAGGCCAGGGGAGCAAACGGG
rnacentral:rRNA from 1 species